GGGUUAAAUCCUCAGAAAGUAAAAAGAUGGAAACUCGGGGUGCUGUUUUGGAGUGUCAAUAAGUUUGCUGGUGGGAUUACUGUGUGGAUCUGCCCAUGCUCUGUCAAGCCAAAUUGUGUGCAUUGGUGAAAGUGAUAUAUAUUAGGAGGAAGGUGGUUCAAAAGCUGAGGAAGGACCAACAAAAAUGUUGCUUAAUAUUGUUGGACUGAAACAUGGACCUCUUGUUAAACCAGAAUUGUAGGACGCAUUCAAAAUUGUUUUAGGUUUACCCUACUGAGGUUUAUUAUUAUUAUCAUUUUUGAAAUAGGA
rnacentral:misc_RNA from 1 species